rnacentral:rRNA from 1 species
AUUGAACGCUGGCGGCAGGCCUAACACAUGCAAGUCGAACGGUAACAGGAAGAAGCUUGCUUCUUUGCUGACGAGUGGCGGACGGGUGAGUAAUGUCUGGGAAACUGCCUGAUGGAGGGGGAUAACUACUGGAAACGGUAGCUAAUACCGCAUAACGUCGCAAGACCAAAGAGGGGGACCUUCGGGCCUCUUGCCAUCGGAUGUGCCCAGAUGGGAUUAGCUAGUAGGUGGGGUAACGGCUCACCUAGGCGACGAUCCCUAGCUGGUCUGAGAGGAUGACCAGCCACACUGGAACUGAGACACGGUCCAGACUCCUACGGGAGGCAGCAGAGGGGAAUAUUGCACAAUGGGCGCAAGCCUGAUGCAGCCAUGCCGCGUGUAUGAAGAAGGCCUUCGGGUUGUAAAGUACUUUCAGCGGGGAGGAAGGGAGUAAAGUUAAUACCUUUGCUCAUUGACGUUACCCGCAGAAGAAGCACCGGCUAACUCCGUG